GGACGACGACGAGGACGGGCUCCUGGUGCCGGCGCUGCUCGCGCGGCUCGCCGGCACGGGCGACGCCGAGGUCAGGGUCCUCGUCAUGGCCGCCUUGCGCCGGCUCGCGGGCUUCGCGGGCGGACAGAGCAAGAUAUGAUGCACCGGUUCUGGAAGAAAGAGCUUGACUCUGGGUGCGAAAAUUGGAUGGACGGCUUUGUCGUUUUGGCUGUUCUAACCAUCAAGCUCAAGUUUAAGUUAUUAGGUACUUGAUCGAGCAUAUGCUAUAUCUAAGACAUGGAAUGGUGCUAUGGUAAUACUCUCCGGGUAUUUCAACACUACACUUAAGGACUCGACUUGCUUCUCGAUGUUCUGGUUUCGGUGAGCCCGAAACAUCAACAGGAAUGUUCCAUGGCACUGUACAAAAUGGGGGCCAAAGCUGCAGAACCUUGCCUAUGGAUGCACCAAAUCCAUCUUUAACACCACAGGUUAGCAUAAAAAAGGAUGCAGGUUCAUAAGCAUGUUGAGCCGGCUGUAGCGAGGCUGCCGAAGUUCAGAUAUGUUGUUCGACCAGUUCAGAAGGUGGUUUUGAUAAUAGCCAUACUCUGUGUUGUUUUUGUGGGUCAAGUCGGCAAAGUUUACUUCGUCCGCACAAUCAGUUCACCUUGUUUUUAAAAAAAUAAAAGUUUAGAGAUUUAAUUUAUCAAUUCAAUUUAAAACAUUUGGUAUGUUGAUUUUGUUGCGAGAUUGACUUGUGAGAAUAAUUGGGAGUUUUGCAUGUGAUUCUUGAAAAUAAAGUUCAGAAAUUAAGCUUAAGAAAACUUCACAAAUGGUAGCU